rnacentral:lncRNA from 1 species
ACAAUUAAAAAAAUCAGGCAGCACUGCCUUGCAGCUGCGCUGCGCUGCAGUUUGGGCUGGGUUAAGCACAGCUGCGCCGUCCCCUUGCCAAACCAGAUUUGAUUUUUUUUUAUUUCUUAGUUUACACCUCAUUUUCUUAGCAUGAAUACUAACGCAUAAAAUAUACACACGUUAAGAGGUAUUGGUGCCUCUUGUGUUUACUUUAAUUUGUUUUUACACUUUAUAGUCUCAUUGCCAUUUAUUU